UUUGAACGCAGGAAGGACGGAGAAGGGUCGCUGAGCCGCAGCAUGGUUUGCUCGGUUCAAACCGGUAGGCCGUCUCUUUAGGACCCCAACGUGGGACAAACGAAGAGACAUCAGGCUGAGAGGUCAUGAGGAGAGCUCUACGAGCUCAUGAACUCAGUUAUCCCAGACUUCCAAGAAAAGUUCCGGCGUGAGUCACUUUACUGACCGUACCGCAAACCGACACAGGUGGGCAAGGAGAAUAUCCUAAGGCGUUUGAGAGAAGCCUCUCUAAGGAACUCAGCAUAAUGACACCGUAACUUCGGGAUAAGGUGUGCCGACGGUAGGUGAUGUGCCUGCGCACAAAGCCCAAGUCGGUUGCAGUGAAACGGGGGUAGCGACUGUUUACCAAAAACACAGCACUCUGCAAACUCGCAAGAGGAAGUAUAGGGUGUGAUGCCUGCCCGGUGCCGGAAGGUUAAGAGGAGGAGUCAGCCGCAAGGCAAAGCCCCGAAUCGAAGCCCCGGUAAACGGCGGCCGUAACUAUAACGGUCCUAAGGUAGCGAAAUUCCUUGUCGGGUAAGUUCCGACCUGCACGAAUGGCAUAACGACUUCCCCACUGUCUCGGAGAGGCCCUCAGCGAAGUAGCACUAGGGGUGAAGAUACCCUUUACCCGCGGCAGGACGGAAAGACCCCGUGAACCUUUACUGUAACUUGGCACUGAUUUUCGGGUUAGCUUGCGUAGGAUAGGUGGGAGGCUAUGAAGCCGGGAUUCCGGUCUCGGCAGAGCCAACCUUGAAAUACCACCCUGGCUAACCUAAAAAUCUAACUCGCUUCCGUAAUCCGGAAGGAGGACAAUGCCUGGUGGGCAGUUUGACUGGGGCGGUCGCCUCCCAAAAAGUAACGGAGGCGCGCGAAGGUUCCCUCAGCCUGAUUGGAAACCAGGCGCAGAGUGUAAUGGCAUAAGGGAGCUUGACUGCGAGACAAACAAGUCGAGCAGGUGCGAAAGCAGGUCAUAGUGAUCCGGUGGUCCUGAAUGGAAAGGCCAUCGCUCAACGGAUAAAAGGUACUCCGGGGAUAACAGGCUUAUCACGCCCAAGAGUUCACAUCGACGGCGUGGUUUGGCACCUCGAUGUCGGCUCAUCGCAUCCUGGGGCUGAAGUAGGUCCCAAGGGUUCGGCUGUUCGCCGAUUAAAGCGGUACGCGAGCUGGGUUCAAAACGUCGUGAGACAGUUUGGUCCCUAUCCGCCGUGGGCGCAGGAGACUUGAGAGGGGCUAACCUUAGUACGAGAGGACCGGGUUGGACUGACCUCUAGUGUUCCGGUUGUGGCACCAGCCGCAUCGCCGGGUAGCUACGUCGGGAAUGGAUAACCGCUGAAAGCAUCUAAGCGGGAAGCCAGCCUCAAGAUUAGGUCUCCCAGGUCGUAAGACCCUAAAGGCCCCUCGUAGACCACGAGGUAAUAGGCUGGGUGUGGAAGCGUAGCAAUACGUGAAGCUGACCAGUACUAAUCGGCCGUGCGGCUUGACC
rnacentral:rRNA from 1 species